CACCAACGGGGCUGUCUGGGCAGGGGCACAUGCUCUGUAUGGACAGGAGCACUCGCACUGAACAGCGUGCAUGUGUUUGUGUGUUUGAGAGUGUCACUCCUGGCAUCUUGCUGGAAGCAUGACCGCUUCUUUACCAGCAUCUGUGCUGAUGAUUAAGUGACACAUGUGCUCAUUAGUUCUAUUGUGUGUCCAGGAAAACGAACCACGAGCAGAGAGCAGGGAGGCUUGCAUAGUGGGGGUAUUAUUGAGUGUGAAUGAUUAAGCCUGUGUGUGUCCAGUUUUUUGCUCGCCCUCUUUCAUUUCCUUUCUUCUCCUUCCUCAUCCUCCCAGACUGUGGGAGGUUGUUUGUUUCUUUUUUUUUCCACCCAUCUUUUCUCUUUCUAAUUUAUUCUUUUUCCAUCUUAUGCCCCCCACCCCCAUUUACUGUGCUUCCUUUUCUUUUUUAUUCAUUCUUUUCUUUCCCUCAAGUUUAACUUGCUCCUAACUCUUUCUUUGUCUUCCCUUUUCUUUUUAUUUAUUUCCUCCGGAUUUUCUUUUUCUUUUUUCUGUACUCUUGCCUUGGUCUUCUACUCCACACACCUCUUUUCAUUUUUCCUCGCUUCUCUUCUCUUUCUUCCUUGUUCCUUUAUCUUCUGUUGCCCUUCCCUAUGUGCGGCUUUUCUUUAUGUAUCCCCUCCUCUUCUGUCCUUUCGUGACCUUUCAUUCAUCUUCCAUUUCCUUUCACUUCACAUUUUCUCUCUAUUCCUUUCCUUUUUUUCCACUUCUUUAUCCCUUUAGCUUCUUCGUUUUUUGCCUUCUACUCCCAGUUGUCUUUAAAAUCCUAAUUCUUUCAUUCAUAUUAUGACUUUGACAUUACAUUUGCAAUGAUGUAAACUCCAUACGCAGCUUUAACUGCUGUUUCCUUCUCCUCUCCUUACUUCCUCCCUCUCUAUCAUCUUCUCUUGUCUCCUUUUUCUCCUCUUACCUUUGCAGUCUUUCUGUCUUUUCUUUUUUUUCCUGUCCUCACCCUUUCAUCGCUCUUCCCACGUUGCCCUCUCUUCACAUUUCCUCUCCUCUACUUCCUGGUACGGCCCAUGGAGGCAUGUCUGAGUCCCAGCCACCUUCAUUAACCUUAUCAUUACAGAGACCUGCAGCUGGACCGCACUGCCCUCGCUCUGCAGUGUAGCUUUGAGGAGCUGUGUCAAUACAUACACACUCGGCCAUUAGACUGGAAAAGUGAGAGCUUGGAGGCAGCCAG
ensembl:lncRNA